rnacentral:lncRNA from 1 species
AAGGUUAAAGGUCAGGCAGGGGUCACCCAGACAGGAGUCUCCAGGUGUGGCCCCGCCCCCAUCCAGGUGUGUCCCAGGUGUGUCCCCAAUGUCCCCAGGUGUGUCCCAGGUGUGUUUGGGUGUGUCUCAGGUGUGUUUGGGUGUGUCCCACACUCACCUUGCAGGUGUCCCCGCCCCCGCCCAGGUGUCCGGCACACACCAUGGCCCAUCCCAGCUGUACCC